GACGAACCGUCCAAACGUUAUUCGGAAUUACUGGGCUUAAAGGGUGCGUAGGCGGCUCUGCAAGUUGGGUGUGAAAUCCCUCGGCUCAACCGAGGAAUGGCGCCCAAAACUGUGGAGCUCGAGGGAGACAGAGGUGAGUGGAACUUGUGGUGGAGCGGUGAAAUGCGUUGAUAUCACAAGGAACACCGGUGGCGAAAGCGGCUCACUGGGUCUCUUCUGACGCUGAGGCACGAAAGCUGGGGGAGCGAACGGGAUUAGAUACCCGGGUAGUCCCUGA
rnacentral:rRNA from 1 species